rnacentral:rRNA from 1 species
CCUACGGGAGGCAGCAGUGGGGAAUAUUGCACAAUGGGGGAAACCCUGAUGCAGCGACGCCGCGUGAGUGAAGAAGUAUUUCGGUAUGUAAAGCUCUAUCAGCAGGGAAGAAAAUGACGGUACCUGAUUAAGAAGCCCCGGCUAACUACGUGCCAGCAGCCGCGGUAAUACGUAGGGGGCAAGCGUUAUCCGGAUUUACUGGGUGUAAAGGGGGCGUAGACGGCAGCACAAGUCUGGAGUGAAAUGCCGGGGCUUAACCCCGGAACUGCUUUGGAAACUGUGCAGCUAGAGUGCAGGAGAGGUAAGUGGAAUGCGUAGUGUAGCGGUGAAAUGCGUAGAUAUUAGGAGGAACACCAGUGGCGAAGGCGGCUUACUGGACUGUAACUGACGUUGAGGCUCGAAAGCGUGGGGAGCAAACAGGAUUAGAUACCCGGGUAGUC